rnacentral:rRNA from 1 species
UACGGGGGGAGCAAGCGUUGUUCGGAUUUACUGGGCGUAAAGGGCGCGUAGGCGGUCGUGACAAGUCACUUGUGAAAUCUCCGGGCUUAACUCGGAACGGUCAAGUGAUACUGUCGGACUAGAGUACAGAAGGGGCAACUGGAAUUCUCGGUGUAGCGGUGAAAUGCGUAGAUAUUGGGAAGAACACCUGAGGCGAAGGCGGGUUGCUGGGCCGACACUGACGCUGAGGCGCGAAAGCCAGGGGAGCGAACGGGGAUUAAGAU